AGAGUUUGAUCCUGGCUCAGGAUGAACGCUAGCGGCAGGCUUAAUACAUGCAAGGCGAGGGGGCAGCAAUGUCACCGUCGUACGGGGUGCGUAACGCGUAUGCAACCUACCUAUCACUGGGGGAUAGCCCCGGGGAAACCCGGAUUGAUACCGCAUAAGACAGGGGUCCCGCAUGGGUACUAUUUGUUAAAGAUUUAUCGGUGGUAGAUGGGCAUGCGUUCGAUUAGCUAGUUGGUGCGGGUAACGGCCUACCAAGGCGACGAUCGAUAGGGGAGCUGAGAGGUUGAUCCCCCACACGGGCACUGAGAUACGGGCCCGACUCCUACGGGAGGCAGCAGUAGGGAAUAUUGGGCAAUGGAUGCAAGUCUGACCCAGCCAUGCCGCGUGCCGGAUGAAGGCCCUCAGGGUUGUAAACGGCUUUUAUUCGGGAAGAAGAGCGAGGGUGCGCCCUUGUGUGACGGUACCGAAUGAAUAAGCACCGGCUAACUCCGUGCCAGCAGCCGCGGUAAUACGGAGGGUGCGAGCGUUGUCCGGAUUUAUUGGGUUUAAAGGGUGCGUAGGUGGCUUUAUAAGUCAGUGGUGAAAUACAGCCGCUUAACGGUUGAGGUGCCAUUGAUACUGUAGAGCUUGAAACAAUUGGAGGCUGCCGGAAUGGAUGGUGUAGCGGUGAAAUGCAUAGAUAUCAUCCAGAACACCGAUUGCGAAGGCAGGUGGCUACGUUUGAUUUGACACUGAGGCACGAAAGCAUGGGGAGCAAACAGGAUUAGAUACCCUAGUAGUCC
rnacentral:rRNA from 1 species